AUUGGAACAAUGUUCUGGGAUGACAAAUAUGGAUCCCAAGGGCCAUCUCCAGAUGGGGCCAAAUUCCAGCAUUUCUUUAUCUCCAGACAAGCUAUCUAGAUCGUUUCUUGACAUCUGCCUCUGCAAUAUUGAUCCACCCCUUCUUUUAUGCCAAGAACUAUGAGUUCCAUUUACUGUCACAACACACAGAUUAAGAUACUCAUCACCAUUCGUUUUCCUCAUAGUCAUACAUGUAAAAAAAUUUUAGUACUGUAAUUUAUUACUCUUUCCUUUCCCCUACCCAAUGGGUGAGCCUCUGCUGAUGGCAAUGCCGAAGGUGGGGAGUCUCUCUAUCCUUCUGUUUUUGUUUCCAUCAUGUUCUGUCCUGAUGGCUUUUCAUUUGUUUGUUCUCCAUUGUAAUUGUGCAUUGUGGGUUGAUUGUUGUAAUGAAGAACAUGAUUUCGGAAUUUUU